rnacentral:sRNA from 1 species
GAGCGANCCGAUNGGAGCUUGCUCCCUGAGGCUAGCGGCGGACGGGUGAUUUACACGUGGGUAACCUGAAAAAAAAACUGGGAUAACUUCGGGAAACCGGAGCUAAUACCGGAUACUUUCUUUUCUCGCAUGAGAAGAGAUGGAAAGAUGGUUCUGCUAUCACUUACAGAUGGACCCGCGGCGCAUUAGCUAGUUGGUGAGGUAACGGCUCACCAAGGCGACGAUGCGUAGCCGACCUGAGAGGGUGAUCGGUCUUUUUGGGACUGAGACACGGCCCAGACUCCUACUGUAGGCAGCAGUGGGAUGGCUGAGAACGAACGCUGGUGGC